AGUCAUGAAUCCCACCGUGGUAAGCGCCCUCCUUACGGUUAGGCUACCUACUUCUGGUGAAACCCACUCCCAUGGUGUGACGGGCGGUGUGUACAAGACCCGGGAACGUAUUCACCGCGACAUUCUGAUCCGCGAUUACUAGCGAUUCCGACUUCACGCAGUCGAGUUGCAGACUGCGAUCCGGACUACGAUCGGGUUUCUGAGAUUGGCUCCCCCUCGCGGGUUGGCGACCCUCUGUCCCGACCAUUGUAUGACGUGUGAAGCCCUACCCAUAAGGGCCAUGAGGACUUGACGUCAUCCCCACCUUCCUCCGGUUUGUCACCGGCAGUCUCAUUAGAGUGCUCUUGCGUAGCAACUAAUGACAAGGGUUGCGCUCGUUGCGGGACUUAACCCAACAUCUCACGACACGAGCUGACGACAGCCAUGCAGCACCUGUGUUCCGGUUCUCUUGCGAGCACUGCCAAAUCUCUUCGGCAUUCCAGACAUGUCAAGGGUAGGUAAGGGUUUUCGCGUUGCAUCGAAUUAAUCCACAUCAUCCACCGCUUGUGCGGGUGCCCGUCAAUUCCUUUGAGUUUUAAUCUUGCGACCGUACUCCCCAGGCGGUCAACUUCACGCGUUAGCUGCGCUACUAAAGCGUAACGGCCCCAACAGCUAGUUGACAUCGUUUAGGGCGUGNACUACCANGGUAUCUAAUCCUGUU
rnacentral:rRNA from 1 species